UCUGUCAUAUUCUAUUAGCUUGCUACGGCCCACCACCUAUCUUUCAGCUGUUCUAACAUAAUUGCAAAAUGGUUUUCUAAUGAUCAAUUAGCCUUUUAAAAUGGUAAACUUGGAUUAGCUAACACAACGUGCCAUUGGAACACAGGAGUGAUGGUUGCUGAUAAUGGUACACCUAUGUAGAUAUUCCAUUAAAAAUCUGCCGUUUCCAGCUACAAUAGUCAUUUACAACAUUAACAAUGAGUACACUGUAUUUCUGAUCGAUUUGAUAUUAUUUUAAUGGACAAAUUGUUUUGCUUUUCUUUCAAAAUCAAAGACAUUUCUAAGUGACCACAAACUUUUGAACAGUAGUGUGUGUACAUUUGAAGUCGGAAGUUUAGGUUGGAGUCAUUAAAACUCGUUUUUCAACCACUCCACAAAUGUCUUGUUAACAAACUAUAGUUUUGGCAAGUCAGUUAGGACAUCUACUUUGUGCAUGACAAGUCAUUUUUCCAACAAUUCUUUGCAGACCGAUUAUUUCACUUAUAAUUCACUGUGUCACAAUUCCAGUGGGUCAGAAGUUUACACACACUAAGUUGACUGUGCCUUUAAACAGCUUGGAAAAUUCCAGACAAUGAUGUCAUGGCUUUAGAAGCUUCUGAUAGGCUAAUAACAUAAUUUUGACUCAAUUGGAGGUGUACCUGUGGAUGUAUUUCAAGGCCUAUACCUUCAAACUCUGCUUCUUGGCUUGACAUCAUGGGAAAAUGUAAAGAAAUCAGCCAAGACCUCCAGAAAAAAGCAAACUGUAAACCAAUCAAAACUGGUUUUCUGCCAAUCACAUUAUCCGUACCUAUAAGGUAGUCGACAGUUGGUGACAACUCGAGAGAGAUCUCCAUCUGACAAACUGCUAUCAGAUCCUCUCAAGCUGAACCUUCACCUCAAGGUGAACCUUCGCCCCAGUCUGAGGUCCUGAGAACUCUGGAGCAGAUUUUCAUCAAGAAUCUCUCUGUACUUUGCUCCGUUUAUCUUUCCCUUGAUCCUGACUAGUCUCCCAGUCCCUGCCUCUGAAAAACAUCCCCACAGCAUGAUGCUGCCACCACCAUGCUUCACCGUAGGGAUGGUGCCAGGUUUCCUCCAGACGUGAUGCUUGGCUUUCAGGCCAAAGAGUUCAAUCUUGGUUUCACCAGAACAGGGAAUAUUCUUUCUCAUGGUCUUGAGUCCUUUCGGUGCCUUUUGACAAAUUGCAAGUGGGUUGUUAUGUGCCCUUUACUGAGGAGUGGCUUCCAUCUGGCCACUCUACCAUAAAGGUCUGAUUGGUGGAGUGCUGCAGAGAUGGUUGUCCUUCUGGAAGCUUCUCCCAUCUCCACAGAGGACCUCUGGAGCUCUGUCAGAGUGACCAACGGGUUCUUGUUCACCAACCUGACUAAGGCUCUUCUCCCCUGAUUGCUCAGUUUGGCCGAGCGGCCAGCUCUAGGAAGAGUCUUGGUGGUUCCAAACUUCUUCCAUUUCAGAAUGACGGAGGCCACUGUGUUCUUGGGGACCUUCAAUGCUGCAGAAAUGUUUUGGUACCCUUCCCCAGAUCUGUGCCUCGACACAAUCCUGUCUCAGAGCUCUACGCACAAUUCCUUUGACCUCAUGGCUUGGUUUUUGCUCUGACAUGCACUGUCAACUGUGAGACCUUAUAUAGACAGGUGCCUUUCCAAAUCACGUCCAAUCAAUUGAAUUUACCACAGAUGGACUCCAAUCAAGUUGUGGAAACUUCUCAAGGAUGAUCAAUGGAAUCAGGAUGCAACUGAGCUGAAUUUUGUGUCUCAUAGCAAAGGGUCUGAAUACUUAUGUAAAUAAGGUUCUUCUGUUUUUAUUUUGUAUAAAUUUGCAAAUGUUUAUACAAACCUGUUUUCACUUUGUUAUUAUGGGGUAUUGUGAUGUCAUUAUGGGGUAUUGUGAUGUCAUUAUGGGGUAUUGUGAUGUCAUUAUGGGGUAGUGUAUAUAGAUUGAUGAGGAAAACAAUGAAUUCAAUCCAUUUUAGAAUAAGGGUGUAACAUAAACAAAAUGUUGAGAAAGGGAAGGGGUCUGAAUACUUUCUGAAUGCGCUGUACAUUGGUUUGUAGGUACUUCCUUUGCUAUUUGUCUCUGUACUCAAUAAAUGGUCAAACACCA